UACGUAGGUGGCAAGCGUUGUCCGGAUUUAUUGGGUUUAAAGGGUGCGUAGGCGGCUUUGUAAGUCAGUGGUGAAAUAUGGCAGCUCAACUGUCAAGGUGCCAUUGAUACUGCGGAGCUUGAGUACAGAUGAGGUAGGCGGAAUUGACGGUGUAGCGGUAAAAUGCUUAGAUAUCGUCAAGAACACCUAUAGCGAAGGCAGCUUACUAGGCUGUAACUGACGCUGAGGCACGAAAGUGUGGGGGAUCAAACAGG
rnacentral:rRNA from 1 species